UACGGGGGGGGCAAGCGUUGUUCGGAAUUACUGGGCGUAAAGGGCUCGUAGGUGGCCAACUAAGUCGGACGUGAAAUCCCUCGGCUUAACCGGGGAACUGCGGUCCGAUACUGGUUGGCUUGAGUUUGGGAGAGGGAUGCGGAAUUCCAGGUGUAGCGGUGAAAUGCGUAGAUAUCUGGAGGAACACCGGUGGCGAAGGCGGCAUCCUGGACCAAUACUGACGCUGAGGAGCGAAAGCCAGGGGAGCAAACGGG
rnacentral:rRNA from 1 species